AUACGUAGGGGGCGAGCGUUGUCCGGAAUGAUUGGGCGUAAAGGGCGCGUAGGCGGCCCGGUACGUCUGGAGUGAAAGUCCUGUUUUUAAGAUGGGAAUUGCUUUGGAUACUGUCGGGCUUGAGUGCAGGAGAGGUAAGUGGAAUUCCCAGUGUAGCGGUGAAAUGCGUAGAGAUUGGGAGGAACACCAGUGGCGAAGGCGACUUACUGGACUGUAACUGACGCUGAGGCGCGAAAGUGUGGGGAGCAAACAGGAUUAGAUACCCUGGUAGUCCACACUGUAAACGAUGAAUGCUAGGUGUAGGGGGUAUCGACCCCUUCUGUGCCGCAGUCAACACAAUAAGCAUUCCGCCUGGGGAGUACGGCCGCAAGGUUGAAACUCAAAUGAAUUGACGGGG
rnacentral:rRNA from 1 species